UCCGGCUUAUCACCGGCAGUCCCUCUAGAGUGCCCAACUUAAUGAUGGCAACUAAAGGCGAGGGUUGCGCUCGUUGCGGGACUUAACCCAACAUCUCACGACACGAGCUGACGACAGCCAUGCAGCACCUGUGUUCCCGCCAGCCGAACUGAAGGAUCCCGUCUCCAGGACCCAUACGGGACAUGUCAAGGGUUGGUAAGGUGGGGAUGACGUAGCUAAGCCUUC
rnacentral:misc_RNA from 1 species